CACCGUAUGACUAAGGUUUCCUGGGGAAGGCUCGUCCGCCCAGGGUUAGUCGGGACCUAAGCCGAGGCCGAUAGGCGUAGGCGAUGGACAACAGGUUGAUAUUCCUGUACCAGUUGUUUUUGUUUGAACAAUGGAGGGACGCAGUAGGCUAAGGAAUGCAUGCGAUUGGAAGUGCAUGUCCAAGCAAUGAGUCUUGAGUAGAGUUAAAUGCUUUACUCUUUAAGGACAAGUUGUGACGGGGAGCGAAAUAAUAGU
rnacentral:rRNA from 1 species